rnacentral:rRNA from 1 species
GACGAAGGGGGCUAGCGUUGUUCGGAAUUACUGGGCGUAAAGCGUGCGUAGGUGGUUGCCGUAGUCAGGUGUGAAAGCCUUGAGCUCAACUCAAGAAAUGCACUUGAUACUGGGCAGCUAGAGGACCGGAGAGGAUAGUGGAAUUCCCAGUGUAGUGGUGAAAUACGUAGAGAUUGGGAAGAACACCAGUGGCGAAGGCGGCUAUCUGGACGGUUUCUGACACUAAGACACGAAAGCGUGGGGAGCAAACAGG